rnacentral:rRNA from 1 species
CAGCAGCCGCGGGAAUACGAAGGGUGCAAGCGUUAAUCGGAAUUACUGGGCGUAAAGCGUGCGUAGGCGGUUUGUUAAGUCUGCUGUGAAAUCCCCGGGCUCAACCUGGGAAUGGCAGUGGAUACUGGCAAGCUAGAGUGUGUCAGAGGAUGGUGGAAUUCCCGGUGUAGCGGUGAAAUGCGUAGAGAUCGGGAGGAACAUCAGUGGCGAAGGCGACUAUCUGGGCCAACACUGACACUGAGGCACGAAAGCGUGGGGAGCAAACAGGAUUAGAUACCCGCGUAGUCCCUGUCUCUUAUAC